GUUAUUCCUUAUAUACUGCAACUCUUAUAACUGUUCUAAAUGAAGCAUUUAGGGUAAAAAAAUCACUUCUUAAGGUGGUACCUAACACUACAGGGAGAUAACUCUGAAAUAUCAGCUAAACGUUUUAAUUACGUUGCGUUGUGAAGGCAAUAUAAAGCUUCUCAAUGAUCAAAAUUAGUGUUUGUCAAACUGCUAUAUAAGGGCCAUAUAACCAGUGUAAUUUUUCUGAUAAAACGCUUGGUUCAAUUUUUUUGAAUUUUUUAUAUUUUUGUUAAAGGGUCAAAGUAAAUAUUUUGUCAAAAUUUUAUGAAAAUUAAACGAGCCAAAUUAAUUUUAGUGAAAGUGUUGGGUACCACCUUAAUGUUCAACGGAAGACGUAAAAUUUCCGCGAACAUGUAUGUUUUAUUGACGUCAUAAAUAAAACUCUACGGAAACAUAUUGUCAACGUCAUAAACAAGGUGAUAUACGGUCAGUAACUGUAUAUCACAUAUGAAUAUACGGUCAAUGCAAUUUGACUGCUCAAAUAGCACAGCUGCAGUAUAUAAGGUAAUAAGGAGGCGGGGCUUAUACAUGCUUAGUAGUGGUGUUACGUCCCUUUAGAAAAACAAAACAGUACUGAGAAAAAUAUUAAAGGUUUCAAUAGACGAAGAAAGUGAUGAUAAAGUGAAAUAAAUUAAUAAAACACAUUUAAAUCUAACAAGUUGUCAUUGUUGGCAUCUGUUUUUGUAGGAUCAAAGGAACUAGUUUCUUAAUCAUGUUAAUGCUAAC
rnacentral:lncRNA from 1 species